GGCAACAGAGCGAGACUCUGUCUCAAAAAAUAAAAUAAAAUAAAAUAAAAUAAAAUAAAAUAGAAAAAAAGUAAAAGAAAUUUCUUAGGCAGAUAAUGAGGGCAAGGAAGUCUUCGGUAAGGUUUUCUUUUUAAUCAAAAGCAGCCCCCAAAUCAUUUCUUUUUCUAACAAAGAGCAGCCUGUAAAAUCGAGCUGCAGACGUAGAUAAGCAAGCUGGAAACUUGCACGGGUGAAUGCUGACAGCUGUGCCGACAGGAAAAUGCUACCUGGGGGCCAAAAUGUCAUGUUCAACUUUUCUUCCCUUUUCUUUGUCAACCACAUGUACAGUAAGGAACAGACAACAUGGCGCCGGCCAGACAGAGACUCCAUCUGCAUAAUAAAAGAUUAGGGUGGAAUGGCCAGCUUUUUCACGCACUAUGCAAACGUCACACCUGGCCCAACCAAUCGCUCAGGCCCUAUGUAAAUCAGACACCACCUUCUCAAUUUCAUCUGUAAAACCCCGCGCACCCCCACCCCGUGCUUUUUACCACAAAACUGGAAGAUCCACUCCGGAGCCUCUCUCUCUGCAGGAAAGAAAGCUAUUCUCUUCUCUUUCUUUCGCCUGUUUAACCUCCACUCUUAAACUCACUUCUUGUGUGUCCGUGUCUUCAAUUUCCCUGGCGUGAGACAAGAAACCUCGGGUAUUUGCCCCAGACAGUGACGCCGCUUCAGCAGGACCUCAGCUUUGACUCUGAGUGAGAUGGGAGCCAUUGGAGAGCUCUGAGUCCAGCCGUGACCUGAUGUGAUUUGUAAAUGAUCCCUCAGGUUGCUGUCUUCAGAAGGCGGAGAGGGUGCAGGUGGGGGCAGGGGCAAAAACAGGGACCCCCCGUUGGGAUGAUCUGCUCUCGGAAGCUUUCCUGGCCCCUCCUCCCCUCAGGUGGAGCUGACCUCUUCCUCUGUUGUUCUCUAGGCUUCCACAACAUUUCCCAUAAUUUAAACACUGACCGUUUACUUGUCUGUCUUCCUCCAGGUCAAUAUAUCCAUAACACCUGACCCAGAACAGGUGCUUGGCAAAGUAUGUUUCCAGCAUGUUCGAUACAAUUGAAAUAACAGCUGGAAUCCAGUAUGCUUGUCAAUGAUCUUUUUUAAAAAUUUAUUUAUUUUUUAGAGACAAGGUCUUGUUUUGUUACCAGGCUGGUACAGUGGUGCCAUCAUAGCUUAUUGUAACCUUGAACCCUCUUGAGGCUCAAGAGAUCCUCCUGCCUCAGCCUCCCAAGUAACUAGGACUACAGACCAUGCCACUAUGCAGAGCAAAUUUUACAAUCUUUUGUAGAGACAGGGUUUCGCUAUGUUUCCCAAGCUGGUCUAGAGCCCCUGGCAUCAAGCAGCCCUCCCGCCGUGGCUUCCCAAAGUGCUGGGAUUAUGGGCAUGUGCCACCGUGCCUGGCCAGGGAUCCUUAACUGCAGGAAACAGAAACCAACUCUGGUUGUCUUUAAAUAAAAAAGAAAACUUGGGAGAUGCCCAAAACCCACAGGAAGUUUGGAGAACUAGGUCUGGACAAAGAACAGGAAGUAGCAGAGAGGUUCUUGGCAGUCAGGCUGUGUGGCUGUGGUGAACAAGUCAACUGCCUCUCCCACCUUGUUUCAAAGUCCUGGGAAGAGCUCUGACUAGAAGGGCUGAGGUCAGGUGUCGACGCUUUGGUCUCACUGGGGCAGGGAGAGGAAGAACUGGGGCAGGGAAAACCUUCAGAGACCCCUUUGGCUUCCAUGAUGGGAGGGCAAGGCUCCCUGAUUUUGUGUCUCACCAAGACUGUGCUGGGAGGAGGCAGGCAAUGGGACGCAAGAGCAGAGAGCUGUGAGGGUGCCCAGUGCCAGCAAAUGUCCAUGACAAUUUCCCAGGGCUGGAAAAGCACAGAGGUACGAGCUGGGAACUGGGAACUGGGGACUGUACAGGAGAUGAGUCUUCCUUGUCUUUGCAUCCCCAGGGCUUAGCACAGCACCUAGUACUCAGAUGCUCAUCUGAUGCUUAUCCCAUGAGUGGAUGGAUGGAGGGAUGAGCUACAAAAACCCAAGGGCUCAGCAUCGAGGGCAGGGGCAGAGUGAGUAGUACCCUAAAACUCUUUCUUAAAAGCCUGAACCCUUGGGGAACUGAGCUGUGUCUAGAAGCGAGAAAAAGUGAAGAGAAGAUUCGUGCAAACGCUCAAGGCACCUUGGCCGGAAGUAGAGGGGAGACCAGACCUCACACUCCUCCAGAACCAGCAGGGUCUCCUGUCCCAGAAAGGAAUGACAGAUGGCAAAAGAUCUGUGGCCCUGGAGCAGUUCUCGGGGAGGUAGUGAGAUCCUCUAGGCUGACCACGUUGAAGUAACAUGAAAACAUUGGCCCUGAAGGGGCUCUGGGGGUGCGGCAAGGACAGCGUCAGAGUGAUGGAUGGUUUUCUGAGGACCAAAUCCUACCACGUGAUGUUGCACAAAGACCUCAGAACUAGGACAUAAAUCCUGGAAGAAGUUACACAUUUAGGCCAGGUGGGGUGGUAAUCCUAGCGGCAUCUGAGGCAGGUGGAUUGUUUGGGCCCAGGAGUUUGAGACCAGCUUGAGCAAGAUAGUGAAACCCCAUCUCUACUAAAAAUACAAAAAUCAGCUGGGUACAGUGGCAUGAACCUGUCAUCCCAGCUACUCGGGAGGCUGAGGCCGGAGAAAUGCUUGAACCCUGGAGGUGGAGGUUGCAGUGAGCCCAGAUGGAACCACUGCACUCCAGCCUGGGCGACAGAGUGAAAUCCUGUCUCCAAAAAAUAAAGAAAGAAAGAAGUUACAUAUUUUUCCCCACCAGCCUAAUGGCAAAGGAACUCCGAAUCAGAAAUGGGGCACAGGUACAGAAAAACAAGAAAGUUGUUCUGCCUGCCCACUGGAGCUGUCCCGGCACUAAGUGAAGGCCUGCCAUGUGUGUCUAAGGCCUGGAGCCAGCCCAGAGGCUGCACUUGCAUCUCUCAGCCCUCUCCCUGCUCGUCUCUGUGCCUCUUCAGUCCAGUGCUUCCUCCUUCCCAGGCCCCAUCUGUUCUGUAGUUUUCUCUCAACCUGGCUUCCUGGGAAGGGCUGCAGCCAUGUUUGAGGAGCCCAGUAAAACACCCCCCAGGGCUGUUGCCUUCUUCCUCCAGGCUAACUGAAUUCUUGCAGGGGCUGGAAAGAGGUGGGUGGGAGGACAGGGCAGGCUGAUCUGGAGAGUCUGGCUUCCUGGGCCCCGGCAGAGCAAUGUGACCUGAUCCCACACUUGGCCAAGGCAGCUGCAGACAUUUGCAAAGUGACAAGAGGAGAGGAGGGACCUAAGAAGAAAACAGCAUUUGCACAGCACAUGGAAGUGCCUGGAAAUGUUUUCUGGACACAUUAUUCUUCUCUAGGGUGAUUUUCAAGGCCAACCAAGCCUGGAGACUAAAGCUUCCAGAGAUAUUUUCGCAUGUCUGACACCCAUGGCUCCACCUGGACCUGAAGGCUCCUGUGACCCCACCCAGGAGUGACUCAGUUCAAGACAACAGCUUUAACCCCCUCUGAUUUCAUCUCCACUCCAACCAAUCAGCAGCAAGCACCCAUUGCCUGGCCACCCCCACCCUUUACCCAAACUGCCUUUGAGCCUUGGAGGAGAUUGAUUUGAGUGAUAACUCCGUCUCCUGUGUGGCAUGGCUGGCUACAAGUCAAUUAAAUUCUUUCCUUACUGCUA